rnacentral:rRNA from 1 species
UAGCAUAUCAAUAAGCGGAGGAAAAGAAACCAACAGGGAUUGCCUCAGUAACGGCGAGUGAAGCGGCAACAGCUCAAAUUUGAAAUCUGGCCCUCUCAGGGUCCGAGUUGUAAUUUGGAGAAGAUGCUUCGGGUGUGGCCCCGGUCUAAGUUCCUUGGAACAGGACGUCACAGAGGGUGAGAAUCCCGUACGUGACCGGUGGCCGCCCCCGUGUGAAGCUCUUUCGACGAGUCGAGUUGUUUGGGAAUGCAGCUCAAAAUGGGUGGUAAAUUUCAUCUAAAGCUAAAUAUUGGCCAGAGACCGAUAGCGCACAAGUAGAGUGAUCGAAAGAUGAAAAGCACUUUGGAAAGAGAGUUAAACAGUACGUGAAAUUGUUGAAAGGGAAGCGCUUGCAACCAGACUUGCGCGCGGCCGAUCAUCCGGUGUUCGCACCGGUGCACUCGGUCGCGCUCAGGCCAGCAUCGGUUUGGGUGGCUGGAUAAAGGCCUCGGGAAUGUGGCUCCCCUCGGGGAGUGUUAUAGCCCGAGGUGCAAUGCAGCCUACCCGGACCGAGGACCGCGCUUCGGCUAGGAUGCUGGCGUAAUGGUUGUAAGCGACCCGUCUUGAAACACGGACCAAGGAGUCUAACAUCUAUGCGAGUGUUUGGGUGUCAAACCCAUACGCGUAAUGAAAGUGAACGGAGGUGAGAACCCUUAAGGGUGCAUCAUCGACCGAUCCUGAUGUCUUCGGAUGGAUUUGAGUAAGAGCAUAGCUGUUGGGACCCGAAAGAUGGUGAACUAUGCCUGAAUAGGGUGAAGCCAGAGGAAACUCUGGUGGAGGCUCGCAGCGGUUCUGACGUGCAAAUCGAUCGUCAAAUUUGGGCAUAGGGGCGAAAGACUAAUCGAACCAUCUAGUAGCUGGUUCCUGCCGAU